GCCUUCGUGGUGUAGUGGUUAGCACACUCGACGCGUAAUCGAGAGGUUCGUGGUUCGAACCCCAGCAAGGGCA
rnacentral:tRNA from 1 species